GGAAGAGAGAGGGAGAGAGAGAGAGAGAGAGAUUCUUCAAAUAAUGUAGCUUAUCACCUUUCCGCAUGUUUGUAAAUAAAUUAAUGUUUUAAUGUACACUCUAUUUUACAACUGUCUUUCACAGGUAUAGGAACACCAUUAUAUUUGUUAUACAUACACAUCCACACCUGGUAGUAUAGAUGUGUACAGGAGGAAGCAACUGUUAAUGUGGGUAUGCAUGUCGCUAUGUAUUUUUUACAUGUUAAAGUGUUAUGAAAUGCACAGGACAAACCAGUCAGUGAGAUGAUAUUUUGUUUAUAGUUGUGGUGUGUGUAUGUGUUUGAGGCAUCAGUGUACAGUUAUGGUGAUGCAAAUUUUGCCCUGAAACAGCAUUAUAUAUAUAUAUAUAUAUAUAUAUAUAUAUAUAUAUAUAUAUAUAUAUAUAUAUAUAUAUAUAUAUAUAUAUAUAUAUAUAUAUAUAUAUAUAUAUAUAUACACACACACACACACACACACACACACACACACACACACACACACACACACACACACACACACACACACACACAGUCAAACUCUCGAUUAACGCGAGAAUUACGUUCCUGGAAAUGUGUUAUUCAAAUGUGAUUUUCCCAUAGGAAACAAUGGUAAUGGGAGGGGGUUACGUUCCUGGCCAUUGGGAAAGUCUACCUAUUUUGGGGAUUUUGUUACUCAAAUCUUUAAAAAGAAAAAAAAAGAAAAAAAAAAUGAAUACAUCAAUAGGUCAUGGAAACAAUAAAAACACAUUCUCAUUUGUGCAUCUUUCUUCUCCGGUAAAUUAGAAAAUUAUUAUUUCAGUGUAAUUUGUCGUAUGAUUUUUAUAAGCCAGGAACAUUAUCCCUUAUUCAAACAUUUAUUAUUAGUGCAUUUAAUGAAAUAAACCAUGAGUAUAAUUGGGUGGUGGUUGGUAGCAGUGUUUACUAUCUACUCAGCUAAUUUAGCCACACAGUCCAGACCAUGCUGUCUCACUGUUCUGCCACAGGCAACAUGGAAAAUUCUACAAAGAGAACCAGCCUUAUUACUGCUGAAGAGCAUAAUAUAUUAACAGACUUAGUGAGCCAGGAAAAGGUGCUUCUAAAUAAAAGCACAGAUGGCCAUAAAAUGUAGCCUUAACAUGGGAGAGAAUCGCCACCUCCUUCAACUGUGAAAACUAUGGGAAGUGGACAGUCCACCAGCUAUCUACAUAAAUUGGUACUUAUCAGGCAAUAAAGACAUAUAACUGAUCAUAAGCUAAGUAUGAUUCUGAUAGAAAACUUGGGAGAUGGAGAUGCGGUGAUGCAAGCUAUACACACACACACACACACACACACACACACACACACACACACAGGUAUUUCUCAAUUUAUGGUGUUCAGAUUACAGUAAAGACUCAAUAUUUGAACAUCUUGGAAGUCAAACUUUUGAUGCUCAAAUGCAAAAGUUCGACUUGGUACUUGAAAAUAUAUCUGAUAAUAUCCACACGCAGUUAUAAACAAAGGCUCCUGGGGUGGAAUCCAUGGAACUUGUCAGUAGCAUGUCGGUAAUAACAAAGCCUUAGCGAAUGAACAGCUCUGAUAGUAAACAGUGGUUGGCAAGUGGCUAUGAUUUAUGGUUGAAUGUUAAUUCAAUAACAGUAGUUACUAGAAUAGCAGGAAGUUCAUAAAUAUUGUUGUGAUUGUGGCAGCUGGCUGCUGGACAUUUGUCUUGCCCAUUGGUGGGCUGGUGGCACGGGCAAAUUUGCUCUGUCAUCUUGAUAUUUAUUUGCACUAUUCCAUGCAAGUUUUCAUUAUGUGCAUAACAAAAUCAUGUUUCUUGUGUGGCAAAGCUUGGAUGAGGCUAAAAAAAAAAAGUAAUUUUGCGUACAUCAGUAUUUACAUACCACACCUCAGAAGGUGUAGUUAUUAGUGACGUACGUAAUAAAGAAAUAAUGAUUUCUUACCGACAUUCCAUGCAUUCAUGGAUACCAUUUUCAGUUAGGGGUACGCUUUCACAUCAGUAAUGUGUCAUUAAAGAACAUGAGAACAUAA
rnacentral:lncRNA from 1 species